UCUAGCUCUGAUUGUCCAAACGCAAUUCUUGUUGAUACCUUUGCUAUUCAAGAGUUGUGACUGGACAUCCGUGGCUCGA
rfam:Anopheles sinensis unplaced genomic scaffold AS2_scf7180000696047, whole genome shotgun sequence.